ACCCGGGGCAGGUGUGGAGUGUCUGCUGAGGCGAAGGCACUGCGGCUCCCUGGGGACACUCGUGGCCUCUCCAGGUUACUACAGAUGGGGGACAGCGGGUCCUUUGGGGCCCUCCUUCCUUGCUUCUGUCUCCUGACCUUUCAGUCCAAAGGGGCCCCAGGGGCUGCUGGGAGGAAGGUCAGGCCCUUGUCCUACUCCACACCCUCUGCUCUGCCCCUAACCACCCGGUGGGGGGUUACAAAGGCCCCACCCUGGGUGUUCUUUCUCUUCAAUCUCCAAGGAGGAUGGUGACAGCAGGAGGCUUGGGUCCUAGCCUGGCACCUGCCAGACAAGAGAAACUGGGAAAGGAGGCUAAAGGCCAAGGAGGCUGCAGACCCCGAGACCUACCCCGGUCACUGGACACUCACAGAUUUGCAGGCAAGGAGCAGCCCCAGCUCAGGGGUCCAAGGAGGUUGAUCGCAGAGUUGAACAACAGAGAAUGUGUGCACAGUGCCAGGCACAGGUGUGGUCAAGAUUCACCUGGGAGAGGAAGUGGGCAGGGGCAGAGGAGUGUGCCCACCUGAGCUGAAAGGCUGCAUGGCAGGUGACCAUUAUCACCAGUGUCGCCAGCCAGGUCACCUCUCUGAAUUUUGUGGUUGCAACCUCCAUGAUUCCCUAGAGCUGUUUUUACCCAGAACUAAUGAAAAAUUCUGCACAUUAAAUUCAUGCUAUUAGAAU
rnacentral:lncRNA from 10 species